UGCGCCAAAGCCGUGGCCGCCCUCGCGCGCGCCCGCUCUGCGCCAGGCCGCUGCCUGGCCAUGGUCGCGCUCACCCGCUCUGUGCCAGGCCGCCGCCGGGCCGUGGCCGCGCUCGCCCGCGCUAAGCCGUGGUCGAGACCGCCCGCGCAGAGGCAUCCUCCGGCGUGGUCUCCAUAUCCAGCGUCUCGGAGUUGCGACCGCCGACUGGAAACACCCGGCGACCUGAGGCAACGCGCACGGCUCCCAGUGCACUUGUCGUUCGCUGCUACAACUAUGUUCGUGUACGAGCGGCCGGCGCACAGCUUAAACACGUUAGUGGUGGCCAGGCGAGAUCCUAAUCAAAUAACAGCGGUGGCGAUUUGCAUUGGCUAGCACGCACAGGAUAACAAUUGGGGAAAUCUUAUCUUCUAUGCAUGUUGCAUUUCAGCCCUUAGGUUUAUUCUAUUAUGUAAGCUUGCCCUUUGUGUGAUUACAUUUUACAAGCAAGCGAUCACGCCAUUUAAAAUUGUGUCAUUACAUUUUACAAGCAAACGAUCAGGCCAUUUGAACAUUGGCCUUCAAGCUUAUUUUAAGCCAUCUGGCCACGUAUUAUAAAGCUAACGUUUAUUUUCUAUACAAUUUAUGUUAAGCUCUCAGCUUUAUAAUAAGUAUGGGC
rnacentral:lncRNA from 1 species